rnacentral:lncRNA from 1 species
CUGGAAUCCAUCGAUCUGUCCAUAUGGAAACAUUAUUUCCUCUUCCAAUUCUCCAACUAAGCCCCUGAAUAAGAAGUUUCUUUGCUGCUCAGAUACUCUUCCAGGUAAGAGAGGUAAAUUUCCCAGCUCUGCUAUUAAAAAAUCUGACUGGAUAAUAUUUUGCUUUCUGGCUAAAAGUGAAUUUGGAUAAUUAAAAAGACGCCACCCCUGUUUGGCUAAUAACGCAAUAUUAAACUGACUGAGAUUUCGAAAACCCAAGCCUCCAUUUUCUUUUAAACUGCACAGAUUAUUCCAUAAACACCAAUGAAUUCCCCCUUUGCCAUGACCCUUUUCCCACCAAAACUUCGCAGUAAUUGCCUCCAUUUCCUCGCAUAAUGUUUUUGGAAGUAAAAAACACGCCAUUGAGUAUGUUGGUAUGGCUUGUAAGAUUGCUUUAAUGAAAACUUUCCCGCCCUGUGAUAAAAAUCUCGUGCUCCAAUUGUCAAUGUGCUUCCUUAGUCUAUCUUUCAAAACCUGAAAAGAAGCCUUUUUUUUUCUUCCAACCAUGGUCGGCAAACCUAGGUAACGUUCUGGCUCAUUUGAACUUCGGAUUCCCAGCAGGUUUACCACCUGAGUUCUGUCUACUUCCUUCGUGUUUCUGCUGAAGAAAAUGGAUGAUUUGUCCAUAUUAACACUGUCCCGACCUCUUUUGUACUCCCUUAAAAUAUCCUUAAUUGCAUUUGCCCCUCUACUUGAUGCCUCCCCAAAAAGAAUGCAAUCAUCUGCAAAUAACAAAUGGGAUAACUGUGGGCCUCUUCUGCUUACUUUGACCACCUUCAGAAAACCUUCAUUGGUUGCUUUUCUCAUAAGGCUAGAAAGACCUUCCCUGCAUAUUAAAAAUGAAAUGGGCUUAAAGGAUCCCCUGUGUGAGUCCUCUCAAUGGACAGAAUGAUUCCCUGGUAUUUCCAUUAACCACAACUUUAUAAGAAAUAGUAGACAUGCAUUUUAUAAUUGACUCAAUCCAGCUUCGAGCGAAAUCCAUCUUACACAUUACUUUUUCAAUAUAAUUCCAUUCAACGCCUUGCUCAUGUCCACUUUUACUGCCAUAUAACCCUUUUUUCCUACUGUUUUUUGUUUUAGGGAAUGCAAAAUUUCAUAAGCAAGAAGAACAUUAUCCGAUAUUAAUCAUCCCGACACAAAAGCACUUUGUGCACUAUCAAUGCAUUUAUCAAUCACUCCCCCAAAUUAGUUUGCUAUAGCUGUUGCCAUUAUUUUAUAGUUGACAUUGCAUAAGCUAAUAGGCUUUGCCGUUAUUUUAUAGAUGACAUUGCAUAAGUUAAUAGGCCUAAAAUGUGACAUGCUAACUGGAUUACUAUUUUUUGGAAUGAGCACAAUAUGAGUUGUGUUAAUUAAACUAACCUCCAUAUCUCCAUUCAAAAGCUUUAGACAUAAAGUAACAAUGUCGUUUCCAAUAAAUUGCUAGCACUUUUGGUAAAAUAAAGCUGGAAAUCCGUCUUCGCCUGGAGCUUUUGUGGGUGCAUUGCGAACAAUGCCUCGCGGAUUUCUUCACCUGUGUAUGACGCCAUCAACUUUUUAUUUUCCUCUUCAUGGAUGCAUCGAUCAAUGCCCGAAAGUAAAAACUCCAAAUUAACUUGAUUCUCUGAUGGAAACAGUUUAUGGAAGUAGGACCUUGCAAUUUCUUCCAUUUCCUGGUAAUCUCUCGUGACUGUACCAUCUGCUUUUUGUAACAUUCUGAUCUUGUUUUUCCUCUGCCUUUGGGUAGCCUGGCUAUGGAAAAAACCUGUAUUGCGGUCCCCUAAUUUUAGCCAAUUCAGACGGGCCCUUUGCUCCCAAUACCUUUCCUCCUUCUCAAACACCACAUUUAAAUUAAUUUUCGUGUCGAUCAACUCCGCCAAAUUGUUGUCAUCCAUUUCAGCCUCGAGCAACUUUGAUAGCUUUGCCUCUAGAAAUUUCUUUUUUCCAGUUUUUGUGUUACGAAUAUUCGUAGCCCAACUCUCAAGCCCCUUCUUUAAGAAUUCCAUUUUCUGCAGAAAAUUUCCUAUUGCCAUCUUCCAGACAGUGAUUCGAAAACGAGUGAACAAUAUGUUGAGCUUUGACUUCAGAGAAAAAUGAAAUCCACUCCGUGUUCGCCACCCCCUAUCCAACCUUUCCCGUAUAUUAGUCUCCGGAAGAUUACCUUUUUCCCAUGUGAACCAUCUUCCCAGAUAACCGACAUCAUUUAAUUGGUAAAACUCUAGAGCUUUCCUAAACAAUUCCAUCCGUUUUUCAUCUCGGGGUAAGCCUCCCUUAUUCUCGAAACUGCACAUGACUUCGUUGAAAUCUCCACAUAUUAACCAUGGAAUGUUAUUUCCAUUAAAGAGAUUUUUCAGAACCCCCCAUGAAUCUUCCCUAUAAUGUGCGUACGGGGUGUCGUAAAAACCUGUAAAACGCCACAUCACCCCCUCUCAUCAUCAUGGAUUAUCACAGUAAUGUCUUUUAGAGAAGUUUUGUAAAGAAAUAUUAACAUCAUUCUUCCAUGCCAAACAUAGCCCCCUUUUAGUUCCCUCUGCAUCCACCCCAAUACUAGUCACAAAGCCACAUCUCUUUCUAAUUCUUUCCAUCUGUUUUCCACUGAGUUUAGUCGACAUAAAGAAGAUUAUUUGGGGAUCACAAGUCUUCAGCGAUUGCCGAAGCCUUCUUACUAUUCGCGGACUCCUCAAUCCACGGACAUUCCAACUUAUUAUUUUCAUAAUGUUCGGUCGGCUUGCCUCUUGGCCGUCGCCGAUGUAAACUGAUUAAGGUCUGUUAAUUUUCUAUUUCUUGCCGAGGGGAAUGACUCAUCAUACUUUGUUUGGCCAUCACUCUCACUCCUAGAUCUUUUUUUUCCCUCUUCACCUGCUAGGGUUAUAUCCUCCAAGUCGUGUUCCAUUGCAUGUUGAUCAUUGUCCGUCAUUGAACUAGCCUGUUUUGCAGCAGCUUUUAAUAAACCCCCUUCCAGAUUAAUCCCUAGAACUGGGUCUAUAAUCUUCCAAACUUUAUUUUCUUCCUCCAUUCCCCUUGGUUAGCCCAUAACUUUCCUAUUUACCUCUUGAAAUCGGUCUGAGUCUCCCUCCCAUUCCUCUCUUAGCCAGACACUUUUCAUAGUCAAAGCUCUUCGAGAUUGUGCUCUUAUUGAUAAAUCCCAUCCCAUCUCAGCUAUUUCCACUCAAACCAUCUUUUUUGCCUCACAAAAUGAGUCGUUAUGGCCCAAUUUUCCACAAAAGAAACAGAAAAGAGUUAGUCUUUCAUAUUUAAAAUUGACAUAUGAACGUCUUCCAUAUUCACUUAACUUCUUCCUCUUCAGAGGGGGUCGUAUAACCACCUGAACCCUCACCCUCAUGAAAUUUCUAUUUUCUUUCCCUAGAUUUGACACGUCGUAUUCCAUAAAGGACCCCGAGAAAUUCUCAAGACUCACUGCUAAUUUUUCUGAAUGGAAACCAAUAGGCACGUCAUGUAUCUGUACCCAGACAGGGGUUAGAAUUAAGGGAACCAGUAUCGGAUUCUCCCCCCAUCGCAUUUUAUAAAGUAUCAGUAGAUGAUUAUUGAAAGUCCAAGGAGAACCCUUCGAAACCCUCUCCAAAUCCAUAGAAUGAAAAAAUUGAAACAAAUACCUUUCUUCCCCAGAUCCCGAAUGCAAACUCCUCGAACAGGAUGCCACAGAUUUGCCAUAGUGCUUUUCAUGGCUGGAUAGUGGAUUGCGCUUGCUGUGAGAAAACAACCCACUAAUUGAAAAAACUCCUCCCUUCUUCCCAUACUUUGGUUUUCUUGAAUUUUAAUAACCUCAUCUUCCUCUUCGUUGAUCAAUAAGUGGACUAACUCGUUUUCCAUGUUGACAGGGACAAACACUCCCCAAAACCAGAAGGAGAGACCAAAGAACAAAACCUAAAAACUUGCCAGAGGCGGCGGGCACAAACUUGCUAGGGUAGCAGACUAUUUUUCCCGUUAAAUUAAAUCCAAAUUAAAUUAACAAUAAUAACAACAAAAACAAAUUAAAUUAACAUUAAUUUAUAACAAAAAAAUAUUACCUUUUCUUAACCACUUAAUCUACCUAGACAACAAACUCUCAUUUCUUUUUUUAUUUAUUUAUUUUCCUUCUCUUUUUCCUUCCCUCUCUUUAUUCUAUUUCUCUUUUUUUUUCUUUCUUUUUCUCUUCCCUUCCCGCCCUCUCCUUCUCCUUAUAAUGGUUCCCAAACACACAACUCAUAGGCUUUUAGCCAUGACCCAUCCCAUCGCCUGACAAUCGCAGGCGGGUGCCGCCUAUGGAGAUGGCGUGACUGCUGGUGCUGCCUCUGCCCUAGGUUUGACCAGCGGGUGCUGCCUCUUCCCUAGGCGUGACCCAUUGUGCUAUCCCAUCUAUGACAGCGGGUCAGGUUUCGGGUCCGAUUUUUUCAGUAUACGAGUCGUAUUUGACCCGUAUUUUCUUUAAGUGUCGCCUAUUAACUUACCUUCACCAUUUUUUUUUUAUUUUCAGUCAAAUUUUGUGAGAAUCCUCUACUGGUGUCGCCUAUGUACCACCCUCCACCUCUUUGAAUGUACCAUUUUAGUACAUAAUUUUUUAAACAUGUCAUUACAAUAUUUUUAUUUUAUUAUACAAUAUUCAGGUAAAAAACCCAAAUUUAAAAUAUUGGACUUUCGUUUAUAUUUUUUUUUAUUUCUUUUUGAUAGUUGUCUUGGAUUUUAAAUUUAUGGUUAAAUGUUACAGAAGCAGUUUUUUAAAUUUUAUUUCUUUUCAAUUAUGGCUUGGCGCAAAUUCUUAGUAUUUUAUUUCAAUUUUCUUUAAAUUAAUUACUGAAGAUAUUAAUUAAAAUUUGAGCUUCGGUAAAUCAACAGCCAAAAGAGAAGCAGGGAAGGAAGCACAAAGUAGAACGGGAAAAAUGAAGCUGGAAGUGUAUGCUGAUCGAAUGUCCCAACCAUCUCGCGCUGUCAUCAUCUUC